CAUUCUCACCGCGGCGCUGGCCCCGGGCGUGGGCACAGCAAUCUCCAGUGGACGCCCGGCCUCUUCGGCAGUAUCCGGAAUCCUCCUCAGGGAGGCUCUAGGCCCGACAGCCCACCCUCGGCGCUCAGAGAUUUCACUGCAAGAAGACUGCUUGCAGAACUUGCAGUCAGUGCAGCCAGCUGCCAAAACCCAGAAAUCGCAAUGCCUUGUGCGGACGUCAGACAGCAAGAAUGAGAGAAUUUGGAGGGAGAAAGGAAAAAUGCCUGAUCGGGCAGAUAAUUUUUUUAUAGAGAGAGGACAUUAAUAUUUGAGAUAUAUAAUAAAUCCUUUAAUUUAUGGUGUAAGAACGAUAAGAAAAAAUGAAGCAGCGGGUUGAGUGAACACACCACUUCUGGUGAGCCAGCCAGUGACCAGAGAUGACAAUGACAUCUCUACCGCCCAUCAGGCUGGCCUCCCCCCUUUCCUUCCUCUUCAUUUAACCGGACCAUUCAGAUAUUUGCCCUUUCAAGAAAAUGAAGUGACCACCUCUCAGUCACAGCAUGACCUCCUGCUUGCUUUAAACUUACCGAUUAAAGCUCCCCGAGGGAAAUUUGUUUGGAUAAUGCCCUAGACAAAAUAGAGGCAUGGGCCCACCGGUCCCCCUCCCGCCCUCCUCCCCCACUUUUGCCUGAGUUCCCUGACCUCCCUGUGUGUGUGGACUCCUCCAGGCAUAUCCUGUACGCCGCAGGGUCUGUAAGCACUAAACAUUCUUAAAUUUUCA